rnacentral:rRNA from 1 species
CCUACGGGGGGCAGCAGUAGGGAAUCUUCCACAAUGGACGAAAGUCUGAUGGAGCAACGCCGCGUGAGUGAAGAAGGGUUUCGGCUCGUAAAGCUCUGUUGGUAGUGAAGAAAGAUAGAGGUAUUAACUGGCCUUUAUUUGACGGUAAUUACUUAGAAAGUCACGGCUAACUACGUGCCAGCAGCCGCGGUAAUACGUAGGUGGCAAGCGUUGUCCGGAUUUAUUGGGCGUAAAGCGAGUGCAGGCGGUUCAAUAAGUCUGAUGUGAAAGGCUUCGGCUCAACCGGAGAAUUGCAUCAGAAACUGUUGGACUUGAGUGCAGAAGAGGAGAGUGGAAGUCCAUGUGUAGCGGUGGAAUGCGUAGAUAUAUGGAAGAACACCAGUGGCGAAGGCGGCUCUCUGGUCUGCAACUGACGCUGAGGCUCGAAAGCAUGGGUAGCGAACAGGAUUAGAUACCCGAGUAGUC